AAUCUGCCUAUUUGUGGGGGAUAACGUAGGGAAACUUACGCUAAUACCGCAUACGACCUACGGGUGAAAGCGGAGGACCUUCGGGCUUCGCGCAGAUAGAUGAGCCGAUGUCGGAUUAGCUAGUUGGCGGGGUAAAGGCCCACCAAGGCGACGAUCCGUAGCUGGUCUGAGAGGAUGAUCAGCCACACUGGAACUGAGACACGGUCCAGACUCCUACGGGAGGCAGCAGUGGGGAAUAUUGGACAAUGGGCGCAAGCCUGAUCCAGCCAUGCCGCGUGGGUGAAGAAGGCCUUCGGGUUGUAAAGCCCUUUUGUUGGGAAAGAAAAGCAGCCGGUUAAUACCCGGUUGUUCUGACGGUACCCAAAGAAUAAGCACCGGCUAACUUCGUGCCAGCAGCCGCGGUAAUACGAAGGGUGCAAGCGUUACUCGGAAUUACUGGGCGUAAAGCGUGCGUAGGUGGUUUGUUAAGUCUGAUGUGAAAGCCCUGGGCUCAACCUGGGAAUUGCAUUGGAUACUGGCAGGCUAGAGUGCGGUAGAGGGUAGUGGAAUUCCCGGUGUAGCAGUGAAAUGCGUAGAGAUCGGGAGGAACAUCCGUGGCGAAGGCGACUACCUGGACCAGCACUGACACUGAGGCACGAAAGCGUGGGGAGCAAACAGGAUU
rnacentral:rRNA from 1 species